rnacentral:lncRNA from 1 species
CCAAGUCCCCUUUGUCAACUUCUGACCCGCGCGCCAGCCUCACCCGUGGUCCUGCCACCCUGGCCAGGGGCCCUCGUGGCCCUCAGCACCCUGCGGGCCCCGGGCAAAGCCCGCGGGCAGGGCGCGCGGGGCCGCGGGGGUCUGCGGAGCCUUCCGGGAGGCCCGACGCGGAGGCGGUGCAGCGGCCGCUGCGUCCCCGGGCUCGGCCGCACGCCGCGGGUCCCGCCGCCGCCGCCGCCCGCGCUCGGCACCCAUGGACUCCUCGCCAGGGAGAAAAGUUUGGAGGCGCCCUCAUCUCUGCCUCCAGGGGGUCGGGCUGGCCAGGAUUUGUCCUGUGCUGGAUGCCGAUCUGCGGUCUGCGUGUGCUCUUUCCCCAUCUCUGUCAUUUUCCUCGGACGCACAUCCAUCGACUGCGCCGGUCCCCGGGCACCGCCAGCGUCUCCCGGAGAGCAACAACAGCACCAGGAGAUCGAUGGCCACCUCUGUGUGAGCCUGAGUAGCACUGAGGGCUCGCCUGUCGCCCUGCCACCUCACACUUUGUGGCUGAUGUCUAAAAGGCGGUUAGGAAGCAAACACUGUUUCCUGAUGCACGCAACGCAUUACCAGUUGCAAUACAUUCACGUAGGAAAAGCAGCGCGUCCUCUCUCCCCUUCCCACCCUUGCGAGAGGUGUUUGUUGGGGGUGGUGGAUUGCUAAUACCUGGGAUGUGGCACUUGUCUGGGCCGGAAACUUUCCGGGCAGCCUGACGAUCGAUUAUUUGCUACCUGUGUUCUAAAAAUGGCUAAACACCUUUUGCUGGAACAAAAGUGAGAAAUGCAAAUCUUAAUAACUCAAGGCAAAAAUUUCAAAUGUGUAAGCACAGUUAUUACCCACUCCCACAAAGAAAAGCUUCAUCCUCCACACAUUUUUGGUAGCACAGAGCCUGGUAAUUACGAGAACGAUCAAAUAAGCUCAGAGCUUUCAUGGAAACUCCAAAUUCACAUCCGCCCCAAAUUUAUAAGCAGGGUGAGCAUUUGCUGUUUGACAUCCAUAGAUACAGCUGCGGAUAUGAAGAUCUAAAUGUGAGGGAAGAAAGCGUGUGUGUGUGUGUGUGUGAGAGAGAGAGAGAGAGAGAGAGAGAGAGAGAGAACUUUGCUACAUGUGACUUUUCCUUUCCUCACAUUCUUCUUUCAUGCUUCAAGUUGAACCACUUAAAUAUAUGGCAUAAGAAUUCAUGGAGAAUUGAAUUCCACCGUGAAUUUAAGUGUGACUUUCAUUCCAAAGAAUUCCCAGCAUAUAUUGAAUGAUUAAUGCUCGUAAUAGGUAGUUGCUUUUCAACAUUAGCUUUUUGUAUGUUAGGUUCUGUUCCUUAAAUGAUGGACAAGAGAGAAAUUAGGUCCAACUAUUCAAAAAAUUGGGGGGUGGGGUGGGGAUCAACACUGUGACAUAGCCAGUAAAGCCUCCGCCUACAGUGCCAGCAUCCUAUAUGGAGGCUGCUUGGAGACCCGCUUGCUCCACUUCCGAUCCAGCUCUCUGCUAUGGCCUGGGAAAGCAGUAGAAGAUACCCUGAGUACUUCGGUCCCUACACCCUCCUGGGAGUCCCAGAGGAAGCUCCUGGCUCCUGGCUUCGGAUUGGCACAGCUCCUGCCAGCCAUUGUGGCCAUUUGGGGAGUGAGCCAGUGGAUGGAAGCUCUGUCUCUCUCUGCCUCUGCCUCUCUGUAAGUCUGCCUUUCAAAUAAAUAAAUAAAUAUUUAAAAAAUUUCCCCUCA